AUGUGGUUUAAUUCGACGCAACGCGAAGAACCUUACCAAGUCUUGACAUCCCUUGACAGACAUAGAAAUAUGUAUUCUCUUCGGAGCAAGGAGACAGGUGGUGCAUGGUUGUCGUCAGCUCGUGUCGUGAGAUGUUGGGUUAAGUCCCGCAACGAGCGCAACCCUUAUGGUCAGUUACUACGCAAGAGGACUCUGGCCAGACUGCCGUUGACAAAACGGAGGAAG
rnacentral:rRNA from 1 species